rnacentral:misc_RNA from 1 species
UCCUCGUUGACCGAGGCAGUCUCGUGUGAAAAAUACAACACACGACGAGGGUUGCGCUCGUUGCGGGACUUAACCCAACAUCUCACGACACGAGCUGACGACGACCAUGCAGCACCUGUCACCGGUCCAGCAAACUGACUCCCGAGUUUCCUCGGGAUACGACCGGGAUGUCAAGUCCUGGUAAGGUUCUUCGCUUAGCGUCGAAUUAAACCACACGCUCCACCGCUUGUGCGGCCCCCCGUCAAUUCCUUUGAGUUUUAGCCUUGCGGCCGUACUCCCCAGGCGGGGCACUUAACGCGUUAGCUUCGACACCCAACGGAUCUAUGCGUCGGAUGCCUAGUGCCCAUCGUUUACAGCGUGGACUAC